CAAAGUUUCAGUGCAUUCCGUUGAUGUAGACGGCGUGAAAACGGAAACAAGUAUGCCGUCUCACUGUGCUGCAUACAAUUACACACUGCGUCGUACGAUUGAGACAAGGAAACUUGGAAUGACUUUUCAUAGGUUUCCCAGAGACUAUGGGUUGAGGAGAAAUUGGAAGUUGUCGGCUUAGACCUGGUGUCAUUCCAUCAGUGUUAAACUUCCCGGCUCAUCUUGGAAGAGUACGUGCCAGAAAGACCAUGACCAAGCAGCCUUGAGAUCUUAGUCUCCCUGAGGUCCCUCUCUAUCUCCCCACACAUCCACCAACCACUGGAACACAUCUCCAAAGUUCUGCCGGGCCAGCUCAGCUUCCCCUCAGAAGAAGUGCUGCCACCUGCCAGAUGAAGGAGCCUUUUGAGAGGCAGCUGGCAUCGUGAUUGGACUGUACUUUGGUCUGUUCCAAUCCAGCUUCAGCUCCAGAGACGGCAGGCGGGACGAGUCAACAGAGGCCUGGUGGACGAAGGCAUGCAGCUGAGUACAAUCCAGAAAACAACAGAGGAGGAGUGCAGUGGCCCAGGGCCAGAACAACCAGAGUAGCACAUUAUGUCUCUUAGAAAACAUCAUAGUACAGCCUUUGGUAUGAAAAAACGCCAUCAUAUACAUCGUAUAUUGUACAAAUAACAAGUCAAAGGAAAGAGACAUACAUUGUAGAAUUGUAGUAAUUGUGUGCUGACUGAUUUACUGAUUAUCAGUAUUUUAUUUUUUUACUGAUUGACGGUAAUAAAUACAUUUAAAAAUGGUGCUACUUUGGCUCUGAACCUUUAUCUACCUGUGGUCGCUCUGUCUUCUGGACUGAUUUGAUUGGUUAUAUGUAACAAAUAAGACUUCUUUAACUUAACAUCUGUAAACAAAACAAAAACGUAUCAACAAAGUUUUCUGUUAGAGUUUGUGUUCUUCUAAAUUUAACUCAAGAUUUUAAAUACUUUCAUUUACUGCAAAUGAAUAUCUACUCCAAAUGUCUCACUAAUAAUCAUUAUCAGCCUUAAAAACCCACAAAACACCCCUUUAUACUCGACCACACUUAGUACAGUCCGGUUCCCCCUUCUAUAAAUCUGCUUGGAAUCUUCCACUUCCUGUUUGUCAAAGUGGCCUUCUACCUGGACAGGUUUUGUUGGAGCUCAUGCAACAAACAUUUUGGGUAACUGCACUUUAAUAUGGAUGGAUGACACUGAAUUAGAGUCUGUUUUAAUGAGACUGAGUUAAGAUGUGUAGCUCUGUCAUUAAAUAGGAAAUUAUUUCUCAGAAUUCACAGAGAAAAGUCUGAAAUGUUUGCUAGGUUAGCGUCCCACAUGUUCUUUGGCUCAGCUAAAGCUAACUCUCUCCAGCUUCUGGAUCUCUUGAGUUACUUGUUAAAAUAUCUUGCUAGAGGUGCUGAAGCUCAGAAAGUCUGAGAUGUUUGUUCAAAAUAAGCUCAUUCUCAAGUCUUCUCUGAACUGUCCUCUUUUGUUUGAACUUUCCCUAAACUUAGCAGUUAAUGACAGCAGCACAUCCAGACUCAGUCUCAUUUAUGUAGAGAUUAAACUUCAGUGUCAUUCAUUGAUGUUAAAGUGCAGUUUUUCAAAUGUUUGUUGCACAUGCUCCUGACCAAACCAGUGCAGGUGGAAGUGAUGUGAAGAGAAAGCUCCAGAGGAUGAAUAUCACACAUUUAUAUUGGAAAUAAAUGUCCUUUAAUUCGACAUUGUCAUGCAAAAGUUGGAUUUCCCUUUAAUGAUGUUCAAAUCUUUGUUGAGUGUUUUGUUGAUGUUGGUUUCUAAAUGUUUUUUGACAUUUGGCCCCAGAGAUUAAAACCUUCUACGGCUCACAAGCUGCAACAAUUCACACAUUAUCAACUAUCUUUCUGACUAAACUAAGAUAAAAAGUGAAAAACUGCCUGAUUCCUGCAUCAUGAAUGUAAAUCUUUUUGGUUUUUAUGACAGUAAACUGAAUAUAUUUGGGCUUGAUAUUUUAUAAACCAAAACAAGAAAUGAAUUACUGGAGAAAACGACAGAUUCAUGGACAAAGAAAAUGUGUUUUCCAACAUAUAUGGCUGAAUUACUCCAACAUUACAAGAUACAUAAUUUUAAUUCAAUUUUAUUUAUA